AUAAAGAGCAAUCCAUGUUUUUAAUAAAGUAGGUACAGAGUUACGACUUUUCGGCAUUUUAAAAUUUAAUCGUUUUGAAGUAUAAAUUGUAAUUUAUAAAUUUACGGAAUGCGGAUCGAAAAAUGAUGUAUGGACACUAGUUUUUCGUAUUUAAUUUUUUAGUUGUAUUUAUUAAGCUGAACAAGUUUAUUUUGUGUUAACAAAAAAUAUUUUUCUUUUGGCAAAUUUUAAUUACAUUGAUUAGAAACUUUUUGUUUAUUAUUAGUUGCCCCUAUUUUAAUCCGUACAAUGGAGUUCUGCUCCCCCUUUUAUUUUGUUUGGGUUUCUUAAAACAGCCUAAGCGGCAACAAUCUAUAUUAAGUUACUUAAUAGAUCAUACAUGCUACACAGUAGAUAAUUAAUAUCUAAAUUAUUAUGGGUGAAUAGUGAACAAUUUACACUUGAAAUUAUUUUUCCUAUAGAAAAUAAUGUUCAGUAUAAUAAUCAAACCAAAUGAUACAAUAAUAAAAGUAGUAACGCUGACACAAUUAAUAAUAAAAAUCUAUGGUGGUGCCAAGACAAGUUUAAUAAAGAAUGGUAAAAAGUAUUAAAAAAAUAUGUUUUACAUUUAGUUAUAAAUUUAUUAUUGGUUUGUAUAGCAGCCGUAAUCGUUUCGGACGGCGUGCUGUGUCAUCCACAUCUAUGGUAUUUAUAUAAUUUGGUGGGAGUUACCGUUGUUUUGUCAAUCUAAUGACCGUAAUUAGACGAAUACAGGAACUCGUUAACAAUCAAUCAUCGACGAACUGCCAUUGUGUUUGUGUGUAGUGUAGUUACCUAUAGUUGAUGAAAAAUUUUCUUCGAAUUUGUUUCAGUCAUGUCACCAACCUCAUUGAAGAUAGUCGUCACACGAGAACCGAGCGAAGAUCGCGAUGUGUCGGUUGAGGUGUACGAUCGAAACAGAACGGUUGCCCAGUGUAUCCUUUUUUUCCUUCAAGAAAAGUCAUCAUCGCCAAGUUUUCGUCGUUUUGGGUACUCAUCAUAAACUUACGAGGUUAUUGGCUUGAUAACUGACAGUUCAACAUUAUUCUUCACAAAAACUAUUAUAUGAAUUGACUCCAAUGGUGUCUUAUGGUAUUUUAUUCAAUCG